AUACGGAGGAUCCGAGCGUUAUCCGGAUUUAUUGGGUUUAAAGGGAGCGUAGGCGGACGCUUAAGUCAGUUGUGAAAGUUUGCGGCUCAACCGUAAAAUUGCAGUUGAUACUGGGCGUCUUGAGUACAGUAGAGGCAGGCGGAAUUCGUGGUGUAGCGGUGAAAUGCUUAGAUAUCACGAAGAACUCCGAUUGCGAAGGCAGCUUGCUGUACUGUAACUGACGCUGAUGCUCGAAAGUGUGGGUAUCAAACAGGAUUAGAUACCCUGGUAGUCCACACAGUAAACGAUGAAUACUCGCUGUUUGCGAUAUACAGUAAGCGGCCAAGCGAAAGCGUUAAGUAUUCCACCUGGGGAGUACGCCGGCAACGGUGAAACUCAAAUGAAUUGACGGGG
rnacentral:rRNA from 1 species